rnacentral:lncRNA from 1 species
AAGAGAGAUAUUUUGAGAUUGAAACAUUUUUGUGCCUAGACUGGAAAGAUGCCCACUGUGUUUGUAUCUGUUUUUGGUUUUGACUUCUUCCUAACCUCCCUCUGCCCAGUGUGUUCACUUCCGCAUCCUGGCUAUGACUUUACCCCUUGUAUUGGGUUUUGAUGACCCAACCUUGUUUCUAAAGAUUGACUUAAUUUAUAGCACAAAUGUAUGGGAGGAAUGAGAGCAGAACUUCCUUUUCGUUUGUUUGAGAUGCAGAUUGAGUCUUGAAGAGGAAGGAGUAUUAUAUAUGCAAAUGACGUCCCAAUCCUAC